rnacentral:rRNA from 1 species
UACGGAGGGUGCAAGCGUUAUCCGGAUUCACUGGGUUUAAAGGGUGCGUAGGCGGGCUUGUAAGUCAGUGGUGAAAGCCCGGGGCUUAACUCCGGAAUUGCCGUUGAUACUGCAGGCCUUGAGUACAGUUGAGGUGGGCGGAAUACAUCAUGUAGAGGUGAAAUUCUUAGAUAUGAUGUAGAACACCGAUUGCGAAGGCAGCUCACUAAAGUGUAACUGACGCUGAGGCACGAAAGCGUGGGGAUCAAACAGG